CCUUCGACCCAGCGUUGCAGCGUGUGCCUCGUGUGUGCGCCCCCGUGCUCCUCGAGCACCGCGUCCCCGCUCCCCGGACGAUGCUUCGGUGCCGAAGCUGCGUCCCCGCUCCCCAUCCCCAACUCUGCGCAGCCGCCGCCUCUCCCCCGCUCCCGCAGUCCUCUCCGCCCCCCGGGGAGCGCCCAGCCCCACGCAAGAGUUCAAGGGCAGAGCCCCAGCACGGCGCCGGAGUUCAGCGGCAGGGCCGGAGCGAAUAGCCAGGCCGACGCCCUGGUUCGGCCCCGGUCCACAGGGGAGUUGGCGACGGCCUCGUGAGAGGCCAGGACCUCCUCCCCGUAAAGCCGCCGAGCACCCGGAUCUCCGUCGCCGGGUGCCCCACCGAGCCGCGCCGCCUCUCUGCUCGCCCGGCGUGGGGCGGAGUGGAGGAGAUCCGAGCCGGGGAGGCCUUCCGCUGUGGGGGGUGCUGUGCCCCCGUAGGCUAGGUCUACAGCCCGAGUUGCAUCCGCCGGUGAGUCGAGGAAGCGUGGAUGUCUUCUCUGAGCUGGAGCUGGUCUUUACUUAUCCUGCAGUUCCUCGAUGAGGAGAAGUUCAAGGAGACCGUCCACAAGCUUAAGCAGGAGUCUGGGUUCUACUUCAACAUGAAGUAGUUCGAGGACGAGGUGAUCAAUGGGAAUUGGGAUGAGGUGAAGCGCUACCUCGGGGGCUUCACCAAAGUCUACAACAAUCUCUACUCAACGAAGCGCAAGCAGAAGUAUCUCGAGGCCCUCGAUCAGCGGCGCUCCCUCGGCUGUGCCUGGGUGUUCGACCUGCCAGUGUGGUACAGGAGCAGCAGCGACCAUCCUGCCAAGGACCUCCAGCAAUCACCUGCUCACUCUUGCUUCACAGACUAUCUAUUGUGGUCAGUUCAGAAAAUUCGAGGUUUUAGGAUCUUUGGAAGUUUUGGGAGGUAUCCCCCGUCUUGUCCGCAGUUGAAAGGUGUGUGCAAGUCUGAGAAAAAUACCUUUUGUUUUACUUAUGUUUCAACUCUGACGAGGCAUGUUUGUCCGGGUGGUAAAAAUGCAGUGUGAAUGUUUCUUUUGCUAAUUUGGGGAUUUUGAUAGAAGAAUGUUGUUUUGGGCUGGUGCUAAGGAUCAUUCAGUUUCAAGGAAAAAGAUAUAUCUGUGGUUUCUUUGCUUUAUAGAAGAUAGAAGAUUCAUUAUAUGAUGUUUUCAUUUUGGUAACCAUAAGAAAUUUUACAUUCUAUGGCGAAUUUUAUAAUUAUUUGUUUGGAUUCUGAAUCAUGCUAGUCAAGGUUGUCUUUGUAAUAAUGCGUUAUAUUGUACACAUGAGUUCUCUAAAAUUCUCUGGUGGUUUAUUCUAUUAUAAAGCCAGCAAAAGAAGCUGGGGAAGGGAAUUGUUUAAGGACAAGAGAAAAGCCAUGAGUUGUCUUGCUGAGAAAAGAAACAAGUAAUAUCACAUUCUGAAGGUUCAUUUCCUUAUAUAUGGGCAUGGAGUCCUUCAAAUCGUUAGCAUUGCAGUUUUCUAACCAUGUACAUAGGUGAUACGCAGCUAAGCACUUGAGCUAUGAUUAUUGUUAUAUGUAUGGAUUAAUAGUGGUAAUCACUGUUUGGCCUUGAGCAGCUAAGCUAACUCAAAUGUAUACACUCUUUCAACGUAACUGAUUUACCUAAAGAACUCGGUUGAUUAUCAGGCGUGCAUUUUGUAUGCAUUGAAAUAAGAUUCAGAAUUCAUGAUGAUUGGUUUAUGUUGUGUACAUAUAGGAAGUAACUUCUCAUGAGCCAACUUUUUUUUGGGGUGUGUUGUGCUGAGGAAAUCUUAUGCUUCCGCGCGUACAUUUUGUUUGUGUUUGUCUAGAGUUUUUUUUUGUGCUUACAGCACAAGAUAUUCUUAUUUACUUUGAUUCAUCUAUUUGUAGCAAAAAACUAUUUCUUCGUGCAUAAAUGUGUUCUCUUCAUUAUUCAGGUCAAAUGAGUGAGACCGUCAUUUUUGUAUUGCCCUCAAGGGAGGCUGAUUUUCUGUGUACAUUUCAUUUGCCAUCAAGGCGAUCAUGACGUCCACUCAUGUCUAAUCCUAAUGGUCAUAUGUGUGAGCCAAUCCAUCUGUAUCGGCUUUGAGGGAGCUGUAUUGUUUCAUUUGCCAUCCAGGCGAUCACGACAUUGACUCAUCUCUAUUCAUGAUGGUGAACCGAUUUUGACAGUUGUUUAUGGUUCUGAAAAUGAUUGCUGGGGAAGGAGGACCAUUCGUAAUUUGGCCUCAAGGACAUGCUCUACUUUAGCUUGCAGGUUGUGACCUUCCUUCCCUCCUCUUACUGGUCUGCUUUUAGUAUUAUUAAACUGCACGACACAGAUGAAAUUUUUUGAUUAUGCCUAGACCUGGAUUCUUUGGGGGUGAUACAGCUAUACUGGCAGAUGAAUAUUUAUAGAGAAAUGUCUUGGAAAUUGCAAGUAGAUGACUACUCUACACUAGCAGAUGCUUAAUAAUCUGUGACAAUAAGAUCCAGUCGCAUGUCAUAUGUCGAUUCUCUUACAGAGAGCAUAUUCAGACACAUAUGUUGGUCGGUGAGCAUAUUAUACAGUCUCCACCAGAUGCAUUUGUGUUUUGUAAAAAUGCAAUGAUGCUAUGUAGAGAUUGCUCUUGCACUGUUUUUCUACUAUCUUCUUGUUUCUCUAUUUCUGCAUUUUAAGUUCCCAAAUGCCUAGAUAAUUAAUGCAGCGUUUUAAGUUCCCAUUUUAAGUUUCUCUGUUUUUGCAUUUUAAAUUCAGAAUGACACUUCAAUGGCUCACGGCAGUGAAAGUGCCAACAAAUGAUUCCCAGGGGAAGAAGCAGUUUCCAAACGAGGAAGGUAGUUUAAUUUGCCGUGAAAAUGGAUAUCAUGGACGUUAAUUAGGUUAGUGUAUCUCCAAGUGUUAUUAGAGUACCGCACGAAGAAGUCAGAUUUUGUAAAAGUACAGGUCGGGGAGAAAAGUGCCAGGAAGAGGAAGCAGCAGCCAAAAUCUGACAAGAUGCAAAGGCCCAUAUCGAGUAUGUACUGUACUCAAAGGGAUUAAGUUCAGUUAUUAAAAUGUCUUCCCAUCCAAAUUACUUAUUAAAUGGUUUUAAGUUUUACUGAGUUAGAGAAGGCCUUGUUGCUUCUAUUUUAUCCUUCUGGCAACAAAUUGGAUUGUUUAUUUUAUAUGAAAGCAUUAUUAUUUCCCCCUCAUCAGUUGGAAGGCUUUUAGGACUCGCUGAUCUCUCUCUUUCUUCUAACUGACUAGCUGAUCUUCACUUACCUAUAAAGGGAAGAUGGCGGUAAUAGAUAUAAAAAAGAAUGAGAAGAAAGCAACAUUGAGAUUUCUUUUCAUUAGCUGUAGGUGAAAUUCACUGUUUUGUUCAUGUAUAACCGUAGAAGCUUCGUUCUAAUGAACUGGUUUGCUUUUGCCAAAUUAAGCUGGUUGUGGUGGGACAGAUUUGUGCCAUCUCAAUUUGGAGUGGACUUGUUUGUUAGUGUAGCUAGCUAGCAUAUCUUGGAUAAUAUGGAUCGGCAUUGUACUAACUAACCUUUACAGUUAUUUUCAAUACUUUAGGGUUCCCUUUUCUACGGGUUCCCUUUUCCCACACAUGGAUGCUGACCAUGGUGAACUGCUAAUCACUACUGGAGAUGGAACUAUCGUUAUUACAGUCCACUUUAUCAAGGGUGUUGACAAAAGGGCCACCAUCACUAGAGGCUGGAGCGACUUCUUCCGUCAGGCACACAUGAACAAAGGGCAAACAUAUGUUUUCGCCUUCAAAUACACUUCCAAGGGACUGCGCCUGAUCGUCUACUCAAUAUAAGCAAGUUGCAAGAGCCCCUUGUUAUAUAACUUAGCAUUAGUAUAAAUGCCUACCAAGACUUCUAUGUUUAUCAUCCUUUUGGAUUUUAUGUAAUCCCUAAGACCAUCCUGUGCAUUUAACUGUCGGUUAUUUGCUGCUUAGACUGUUGUAUGGUAUGCUUUUGAAACAGCCACCAUCUAUCUAUUAUCAAUCCGUAUUUAUUUCCA